AUUGAACGCUGGCGGCAUGCUUUACACAUGCAAGUCGAACGGUAACAGGCCUUCGGGUGCUGACGAGUGGCGAACGGGUGAGUAAUGCAUCGGAACGUGCCCAGAGGUGGGGGAUAACGCAGCGAAAGCUGUGCUAAUACCGCAUGUGAUCUGAGGAUGAAAGCGGGGGACCAGGCAGCAAUGUUUGGCCUCGCGCCUUUGUAGCGGCCGAUGUCAGAUUAGGUAGUUGGUGGGGUAAAGUCCUACCAAGCCGACGAUCUGUAGCUGGUCUGAGAGGAAGACCAGCCACACUGGGACUGAGACACGGCCCAGACUCCUAGGGGAGGCAGCAGUGGGGAAUUUUGGACAAUGGGCGAAAGCCUGAUCCAGCAAUGCCGCGUGCGGGAAGAAGGCCUUCGGGUUGUAAACCGCUUUUGUACGGAACGAAAAGGCUCUGGCUAAUACCUGGGGCUGAUGACGGUACCGUAAGAAUAAGCACCGGCUAACUACGUG
rnacentral:rRNA from 1 species